GGGGUGUGGUAUGAUGCUUAGAACAUCACAUGAUGAAGAGGUGGGAUAUCUAAGUUUGAAUCCCUCACUGGACCACAGAAUCCUGUCAGGUGACCUCGGCCUGUAACAAUCUGUCAGCCUAACCAAGCCUCACAAGGGUUGCUCGUUUCCAUGUUGCCAGGGACCUCAGGAGAAUCAAAGAAAAACAAGCAGCCUCCUGGUCAUGACUGGCUACCCUGGAAGGCUUGAAAAUAAGGAGAGAGGGCUCAGCAAAGAACAGCAAAGCUGC